GCCAAACAAUCAAUAGAAUGAGAUUAAUUCCAAGCAAGGCGCUACAAACACCAACUUUUAUAUAAAUUAAUUCAGCUAAAUUCAAGAGUAGCAUAAGCACAAAACACACGCUGUUGAUUCUGAUGGAAAGAUCAGCUCCAAUGCUGAUGUUGACUUUUAUGUAGAUGAUGACAUGAUUCAUGUUAUAGAAUCUAAACCAGCUAAGCGGUAUGGGGAUUAUUUUCUGCGGCAAAUUGUCAAGCUUGAAGGCGUGAUGACCGAUGUCGACAGGGUAAAGUUGGAGUGAGUUCUGGACUGGAGCUACAGCCAUUUUUGUGCGGCAGAACAUUUUAAUUAGCUUGGCUUCCUCCUCCCAGAAACUUGAGGAAAAGAAUGAGAUGAAAAAUGGACUGAUUUUCUUUUCUUAGAGGAACUGAGUUCCAUCAUUUGUGGCUAUUAUUUUUUGCUUGGAUGGGAUGGGGCUGAGUUUUGGGGAAAGAUGGGAGCGAGGGUUGGUGGGGUUAAGCGAGGGAAUGGAUGACUGAAAGAGACACUUUCCCUUGGUCGCGUCCCUUCACUGAGGCUGCUUUUUUUUGUUUUUUGUUUUUCCCAAGUGUACAAUUUCUAGUUUUUCUAUGUUGUAAUUUAUUUCCAAAUAGAGAAGAAAACACGCCUC